rnacentral:tRNA from 1 species
GCCCUCUGUGGCUCAGAUGGAUAGAGCGUCUGCAUUGUAAGCAGGAGAGCCCGGGUUCGAGUCCCGGUCAGGGCA